ACUCCUACGGGAGGCAGCAGUGGGAAUAUUGCACAAUGGGCGCAAGCCUGAUGCAGCCAUGCCGCGUGUGUGAAGAAGGCCUUCGGGUUGUAAAGCACUUUCAGUUGUGAGGAAGGUGGCGUCGUUAAUUAGCGGCGAUCAUUCGUACGUUAGCAACAGAAGAAGCACCGGCUAACUCCGUGCCAGCAGCCGCGGUAAUACGGAGGGUGCGAGCGUUAAUCGGAAUUACUGGGCGUAAAGCGCAUGCAGGUGGUUUGUUAAGUCAGAUGUGAAAGCCCGGGGCUCAAGCCUCGGAACUGCAUUUGAAACUGGCAGACUAGAGUACUGUAGAGGGGUGAGAAGUUUCAGGUUGUAGCGG
rnacentral:rRNA from 1 species